rfam:Brevundimonas abyssalis TAR-001 DNA, contig: BAB015.
GCGGUCGUGGCGGAAUUGGUAGACGCGCAGCGUUGAGGUCGCUGUUCCCUAACCGGAGUGGAAGUUCGAGUCUUCUCGACCGCA